rnacentral:rRNA from 1 species
UACAGAGGGCUCAAGCGUUGUUCGGAUUCAUUGGGCGUAAAGGGUGCGUAGGUGGCGGGGUAAGUCAGGUGUGAAAUCUCGGGGCUCAACCCCGAAACUGCACUUGAUACUGCCUUGCUCGAGUACUGGAGAGGAGAUUGGAAUUUACGGUGUAGCAGUGAAAUGCGUAGAUAUCGUAAGGAAGACCAGUGGCGAAGGCGAAUCUCUGGACAGUUACUGACACUGAGGCACGAAGGCCAGGGGAGCAAACGGG